rnacentral:rRNA from 1 species
UACGAAGGGUGCAAGCGUUGUUCGGAAUUACUGGGCGUAAAGGCUCGUAGGUGGCCAACUAAGUCAGACGUGAAAUCCCUCAGCUUAACUGGGGAACUGCGUCUGAUACUGGAUGGCUUGAGUUUGGGAGAGGGAUGCGGAAUUCCAGGUGUAGCGGUGAAAUGCGUAGAUAUCUGGAGGAAUACCGGUGGCGAAGGCGGCAUCCUGGACCGACAUUGACGCUGAACGCGAAAGCGUGGGAGCAAACGGG